rnacentral:rRNA from 1 species
ACGCACGCUGGCGGCAUGCCUAACACAUGCCAGUCGCACGAACCCUUCGGGGUUAGUGGCGCACGGGUGCGUAACGCGUGGGAAUCUGCCCUUUGCUUCGGAAUAACUCAGGGAAACUUGUGCUAAUACCGGAUGAUGUCUUCGGACCAAAGAUUUAUCGGCAAGGGAUGAGCCCGCGUAGGAUUAGGUAGUUGGUGGGGUAAAGGCCUACCAAGCCGACGAUCCUUAGCUGGUCUGAGAGGAUGAUCAGCCACACUGGGACUGAGACACGGCCCAGACUCCUACGGGAAGCAGCAGUGGGGAAUAUUGGACAAUGGGCGCAAGCCUGAUCCAGCAAUGCCGCGUGAGUGAUGAAGGCCCUCGGGUCGUAAAGCUCUUUUACCAGGGAUGAUAAUGACAGUACCUGGAGAAUAAGCUCCGGCUAACUCCGUG